AGCAGCCGCGGUAAUUCCAGCUCCAAUAGCGUAUAUUAAAGUUGUUGCAGUUAAAAGCUCGUAGUUGAAUUUCGGGGUUAGUAGGUUGGUCAUGCCUCUGGUAUGUACUGGUCUCACUGAUUCCUCCUUCCUGAUGAGCCGUAAUGCCAUUAAUUUGGUGUUGCGAGGAGUUUGGACUGUUACUUUGAAAAAUUGAGUGUUUAAAGCAAGCUAACGCUUGAAUACAUUAGCAUGGAAUAAUGAAAUAGGACGUUCGAUCCUAUUUUGUUGGUUUCUAGGAUUGACGUAAUGAUUAAUAGGGAUAGUUGGGGGCAUUAGUAUUCAAUUGUCAGAGGUGAAACUCUUGGAUUUAUUGAAGACUAACUACUGCGAAAGCAUUUGCCAAGGAUGUUUUCAUUAAUCAAGAACGAAAGUUAGGGAUCGAAGACGAUCAGAUACCGUCGUAGUCUUAGCCAUAAACUAUGCCGACUAGGGAUCGGAUGAUGUUAAUUUUUUAAUGUACUCAUUCGGUACCG
rnacentral:misc_RNA from 1 species